GCCCCCGUAUCCCAAUCGGCAGAGGAAGGUCGCUUAAACCGGCCACAGUGUGGGUUCAAAUCCCACCGGGGGCA
rnacentral:tRNA from 1 species